rnacentral:lncRNA from 1 species
UGCAACUUCACACGCUUUCACAAUGACCCUGCACCCCUUCCAGUAUAACUUAUAGAAAACCACAUAAAAUCAUUUCAAAUAUAUUAUAAUUGAUUGGUCUAGUCAUGGAUAGGGCAUCGAAGCUUUAUCUGGGUGAUCAAAGUCAGCCACUCAUGCUAGUCAUUAUCACCUAAAUAACAUAAACAUAAAAAUGAAUUAACUGAAAUAAAUCUGAUAUAAUGUUCAAAAUAGAAUUUUUGGGAACUAUAUCAUAACCAAAAUAACCAAAAAUGAAAAGACACCAAAAU